rnacentral:rRNA from 1 species
UGCGUAGGCGGCCAAAUAAGUCAGAGGUGAAAUCCUACAGCUUAACUGUAGAACUGCCUUUGAAACUGUUUGGCUAGAAUAGAGUUGAGGUUAGCGGAAUGUGACAUGUAGCGGUGAAAUGCAUAGAUAUGUCAUAGAACACCAAUUGCGAAGGCAGCUAACUGGGCUUUUAUUGACGCUGAGGCACGAAAGCGUGGGGAGCGAACAGGAUUAGAUACCCUGGUAGUCC